rnacentral:rRNA from 1 species
UACGUAGGUGGCAAGCGUUGUCCGGAAUUAUUGGGCGUAAAGCGCGCGCAGGCGGUUCUUUAAGUCUGAUGUGAAAGCCCCGGGCUCAACCUGGGAAUGGCAUUGGAAACUGGCGGGCUUGAGUGUGGCAGAGGGGGGUGGAAUUCCGCGUGUAGCAGUGAAAUGCGUAGAGAUGCGGAGGAACACCGAUGGCGAAGGCAGCCCCCUGGGCUAACACUGACGCUCAGGCACGAAAGCGUGGGGAGCAAACAGG